rnacentral:tRNA from 1 species
GCCAGUGUGGCAUAGUGGUUUGAGCGUUGGACUACAGCUCUGGAGACCUGGGUUCGAUUCCCUGCUCAGCCA